AGCCGCGUGACCUCGUACAUGGCCGUCUUCACCACGGUCUCCAUGACGUCGGACAGCUGGGUCUGGAAAGUGACCACCAGGGUCUCCAGGGAACCAUGCGAGGAGAGAGGAAGCGAGGAGAUAUGUUUCAGGAGAAAUGAACGUUGUUUCCUCGGAAGCGUCACGUGAAGCGACCGCUGAUCACAGCUGAUCAGCUAUCAAUCGAUUCUAACAGCUGGUUGUGGUCCAGACAGUUUUUUUUCUGAUACAAAUCGUCUUUAAAUAUUGAUUAAAUGAUCGUAUCAUGUUUUCAGUUGAUUUAAUGGUGUUAAACUACUACUUAUAAUAAUAAUAAAUACAGUUACUGUCA